rnacentral:tRNA from 1 species
AAAAGUUAUAUUUAGUGUUUUGAAUACAUUAUUGGAUAAUAAUAUUAUUAUCAACUUUUU